rnacentral:rRNA from 1 species
CAUGCAAGUCGAGGGGCAGCGGGAUUGAAGCUUGCUUCAAUUGCCGGCGACCGGCGCACGGGUGAGUAACACGUAUCCAACCUUCCGUUUACUCGGGGAUAGCCUUUCGAAAGAAAGAUUAAUACCCGAUAGUAUGGUGAGAUUGCAUGAUAGCACCAUUAAAGAUUCAUCGGUAAACGAUGGGGAUGCGUUCCAUUAGGUAGUAGGCGGGGUAACGGCCCACCUAGCCUGCGAUGGAUAGGGGUUCUGAGAGGAAGGUCCCCCACAUUGGAACUGAGACACGGUCCAAACUCCUACGGGAGGCAGCAGUGAGGAAUAUUGGUCAAUGGGCGAGAGCCUGAACCAGCCAAGUAGCGUGAAGGAUGAAGGUCCUACGGAUUGUAAACUUCUUUUAUAAGGGAAUAAAACGCUCCACGUGUGGAGCCUUGUAUGUACCUUAUGAAUAAGCAUCGGCUAACUCCGUGCCAGCAGCCGCGGUAAUACGGAGGAUGCGAGCGUUAUCCGGAUUUAUUGGGUUUAAAGGGAGCGCAGACGGGAUGUUAAGUCAGUUGUGAAAGUUUGCGGCUCAACCGUAAAAUUGCAGUUGAUACUGGCGUUCUUGAGUGCAGUUGAGGUGUGCGGAAUCCGUGGUGUAGCGGUGAAAUGCUUAGAUAUCACGAAGAACUCCGAUUGCGAAGGCAGCUCACUAAACUGUAACUGACGUUCAUGCUCG